AGUAACGGCGAGUGAAGAGGGAAAAGCUCAAAUUUUAAAUCUGCCUUGUUUCAAGGUCGAGUUGUAAUUUGAAGAAGCGUUUUCUUGGGCUCGCGGCCGGUAGAAGUUCUUUGGAACAGGACAUCAUAGAGGGUGACAAUCCCGUCUGCGACCGGUCGUGUGUUCAUCUACGAUACGCUUUCAAAGAGUCGAGUUGUUUGGGAUUGCAGCUCCAAAUGGGUGGUAAACAUCACCUAAGGCUAAAUAUUGGCGAGAGACCGAUAGCGAACAAGUACCGUGAGGGAAAGAUGAAAAGAACUUUGAAAAGAGAGUUAAACAGUACGUGAAAUUGUUGAAAGGGAAACGAUUGAAG
rnacentral:rRNA from 1 species